GAUGAACGCUGGCGGCGUGCUUAACACAUGCAAGUCGAGCGGGGACAGUGAGGAGCUUGCUCCGAGCUGUUCUAGCGGCGGACGGGUGAGUAACGCGUGAGCAAUCUGUCCCAGACAGGGGGAUAACAGAUGGAAACAUUUGCUAAUACCGCAUGAGACCACAAUGUCGCAUGGCAAAGGGGUCAAAGGAGCAAUCCGGUCUGGGGUGAGCUCGCGUCUGAUUAGCUAGUUGGUGAGGUAACGGCCCACCAAGGCGACGAUCAGUAGCCGACCUGAGAGGGUGAUCGGCCACAUUGGAACUGAGACACGGUCCAAACUCCUACGGGAGGCAGCAGUGGGGAAUAUUGGGCAAUGGGCGAAAGCCUGACCCAGCAACGCCGCGUGAGGGAAGAAGGUUUUCGGAUUGUAAACCUCUGUCCUUGGUGACGAAGGAAGUGACGGUAGCCAAGGAGGAAGCCCCGGCUAACUACGUG
rnacentral:rRNA from 1 species